UACGGGGGGGGCAAGCGUUGUUCGGAAUUACUGGGCGUAAAGGGUUUGUAGGUGGCUUGCUAAGUCAGACGUGAAAUCCCUCAGCUUAACUGGGGAACUGCGUCUGAUACUGGUGAGCUUGAGUGCAGGAGAGGAACGCGGAAUUCCAGGUGUAGCGGUGAAAUGCGUAGAUAUCAGGAGGAACACCGGUGGCGAAGGCGGCUUUCUGGACAGAUACCGACGCUGAGGCACGAAAGCUAGGGGAGCAAACAGG
rnacentral:rRNA from 1 species